rnacentral:rRNA from 1 species
CCGGGGUGGAGUAACGCGUGGGUAACCUGCCUCAUACAGGGGGAUAGCAGUUGGAAACGGCUGAUAAUACCGCAUAAGCGCACAGUACCGCAUGGUACAGUGUGAAGAACUCCGGUGGUGUGAGAUGGACCCGCGUCUGAUUAGCUGGUUGGUGAGGUAACGGCCCACCAAGGCGACGAUCAGUAGCCGGCCUGAGAGGGUGAACGGCCACAUUGGGACUGAGACACGGCCCAA